UCCACCGUGGUGUAGUGGUAGCAUACCAGCCUUUCGUGCUGUUGAGUCCGGUUCGACCCCGGACGGUGGAA